GAAAUAGCCCUCAUGCCCGUAUAAUGAGCAUGAAAUCGUUUAGGAGGAACAACCUUGGCAGUGGAAAGAGUUUCCAGCAAUGGAAGACAGAUGUUCGAGCAGAAAGCGGAAGAGGGAGAAGCGUCGGAGGUCUAACAGUGAGGGACGCAAAGUUUCUCAACCGAAAGAAACCACCACCACCUUCAAAACUCAACGAGUUGAUGGGCUUCGGCAAAUAGAUGAAGAAGGAAAACAGGUUUCUGCUUCUUCUGCUAAGUCCGGAAAAUCGCAGGGACUCUCCAAUGCUUCUAGUUUUCUCGAUAAGAUGAGAGCGAGGUUGUCCGGUGGGCACUUCAGAAUGCUUAAUGAGAAGCUCUAUACUUGCAGUGGAAAAGAGGCACUUGAUUAUUUUAAAGAAGACCCAGCCUUAUUUGAUGUGUAUCAUGCAGGAUAUCAAGAGCAAAUGUCACAUUGGCCUGAGCAGCCAGUUAAUAUUAUCAUAAAAUGGCUUACAGAUCACAGCCCUUCUCUGGUUGUGGCUGACUUUGGGUGUGGAGAUGCACGCCUUGCAAAAAAUGUGAAGAACAAAGUCUUCUCCUUUGAUCUUGUUUCAAAGGACCCUUCAGUAAUUGCUUGUGACAUGUCAAACAUACCUCUUGAUUCUUCAUCUGUGGAUGUUUCUGUCUUCUGUCUUUCACUAAUGGGAACUAACUACCCAAGUUACCUCAAGGAAGCAUACAGAGUACUUAAGCCAUGUGGUUCGCUUUUGAUAGCAGAAGUAAAGAGUAGGUUUGAUCCAAAUACAGGAGGAGCAGACCCCAAAAAGUUCACCAAGGCAGUUUGCGAGCUAGGAUUUUCUACAGCAUUCAAGGACUUCUCUAAUAAGAUGUUCAUUUUAUUAUACUUCAAGAAAAAGGAGGAGCAAAAUGUCAAAAAGCAAAUUGAAUGGCCUGAGCUGAAACCUUGUAUAUACAAGCGUCGCUGAGAGAUUAAUACUAAAACUCUUUUUUGUUCGUGAAGUUCUAGGUUUACUGAAGCUUUAUUUAUAUAUUUAAGCCAAAAAAUACUAGUAAUAAUAAGAUGUCUGUAAGCGAAGGCGUUCAGACCACAAGAAUAAACACGAUAAAUCAGGCUCAUUUUGUUGGGUUGGAACUUAUGUCUAAAUUUGAUAUCAAACGG